UUGAAACACUGGUUCUCAUAAGAUCGCCAAAGUUAAAAAAUGUCAAGCCUGGUCAGUACUUAGAUGGAUGACUGCUUGGGAAUACCAGGUAUUGUAA